rnacentral:rRNA from 1 species
GACGAACGCUGGCGGCGUGCUUAACACAUGCAAGUCGAACGGAAAGGCCCCACUUUGGUGGGGUGCUCGAGUGGCGAACGGGUGAGUAACACGUGGGUAACCUGCCCUGGACUUUGGGAUAACUUUAGGAAACUGGGUCUAAUACCGGAUAUGACCUUCUGCUGCAUGGGGGGGGGUGGAAAGUUUCUGCGGUUGGGGAUGGACUCGCGGCUUAUCAGCUUGUUGGUGGGGUAAUGGCUUACCAAGGCUUUGACGGGUAGCCGGCCUGAGAGGGUGACCGGCCACAUUGGGACUGAGAUACGGCCCAGACUCCUACGGGAGGCAGCAGUGGGGAAUAUUGCACAAUGGGCGGAAGCCUGAUGCAGCGACGCCGCGUGAGGGAUGACGGCCUUCGGGUUGUAAACCGCUUUCGGCAGGGACGAAGCGUGAGUGACGGUAACUGGUGAAGAAGCACCGGCUAACUACGUG